rnacentral:lncRNA from 1 species
GUCUCAGCUCGAGCAUUCCUAGCGCCAACACGCCCUCAGGUAAAGGUGGAAGUAAAUGGCCACGCUGUAUUGACAGAGCAGGUAGAUGAAACUCAAGAGAAAAGGUGUGGAUAAAUGAAACUAGCCCAUGAUGAACCUGUUUUCUCCGUGACCACAAUAUUAACCAGGAUGAAUGGCGAUACACUGCCUCUAGGACUGGGACAGAUAGCCACUGAGUACCUGCUUCAAAUCACCCUGCACGUUUUCUCUUUGGAAAGAUAAGCACUGGAGAACCAUCUCGUUACCUUCAGCAGAAAUGGAAACAAAUCAAGACAUUAAGAAUGCCGCAGUGGACAGCAGUUAUGCAAGGUUCAGCAGAGGAAGUUUUCAAGAUGGUGUGCCUCACUAGCCAGAAAUCAGAAAAGAUCGAAGCUAGCCUUUUCAUCUCAGCUGCUCCUUAAAUCAGUGCAACCCCUCCAAAUUAAUGUGAAUUGAAACUUGCAUUGCUUUUCAACUUAAUUGAAUACUUACUAUAUGUGAACCACUGCACAAAAUAGGGGAAGAAGAUGUGGGAGACAAAGAUGUGGAGCCUGUCUUCAAUAAAUUUACAGUUAGUUUCAGGGUACAUUGUUUUUCUUCUGCUGUUAAUUAGGUGUAUCCCCAAGACAAUAAAUACAUGAAUGGAAAAGUAUAUUCUGUGUUUUAAGUCUCUUUAAUAAAAAACAAAACAAAAUCCAAAAAAACUCCUAACAUGGCAACUCAGGACAUUUUAAUCCUUUUUUUUGUUGUUGGGCUUCUGAUAGGAUCCAUUUUAUUGAUUCCAUAAAUAUUUAGUAGACUUUAGACAUAUUAAUACAUUGUAGUUUGAGUUAAUUUGCAUUAAAUUCUGUUUUUUUCCCCUUAGGUAUAGAUUGUCUGUUGGAAAAAUAUAUUGCUUGUGGAUUUCUUGGGGAGUGGGAAGGUGAAUUAUACCUGUUGUCUCUACAGUCCACUACCUUCCACACCCUAGGGCAGUGGUCCCCAACCUUCUUGGCACCAGGGAUCAGUUUCCUGGAAGACAAUUUUUCUGUGGAUGGUGUGGGGAUGGUUUUGGGAUGGAACUGUUCCACCUCAGAUCAUCAGGCAUUAGUUAGGCUCUCAUAACGAGUGCGCAGCCUAGAUCCCUCACAUGCACAGUUCACAGUAGGGUUUGCGCUGCUAUGAGAAUCUAAGGCUGCCACUGAUCUGACAGGAGGCAGAACUCAGGUGGCAAUGCUUACUGGCCCACUGCUCACCUCUUGCUGUGCGGCCUGGUUCCUAAUAGGCCAUGGACCCCCACAGACGGGUACUAGUCUGCAGCCUGUGGACCCCAGCCCUAGGGGCCUGCCAUUCUGAGUGAGUUAUUAGCAUGAAGAAGAGGAAGAUCUGGAUCAAACGUGGGUGAUGGUACUCAGAGACCCAAGAUAGGAUAGGGAUGGAACAAAAUCCAUCUGGGCAACGGCUCUAUGAAAAUUUGGCUAAGUAAUUAUUUCAGUAUUCAUUGUAUUCAUUGUCCUUCGUGUUCCAUAAGUUAAAUGACUGUCUAAUUUUUCCAAAAAUUUAUUUCUGACUUGAGAAUAAGUGUGUCAUGAUUUUCCCAGUGUAAAGACACUGAUAUAACUGUAGAUACCAGACAUUUUAUGUAGUGUCUAUGACACAUUUUAGUAUGUAUGAGCCAACAAUAGACAUGUCUUUGUCUUGAGGAGUGUCCAUCUGAAUUGAAAAUGUGUCAGCUUUUUUUUAACAUCAUCAACAGACUUCUUAAUUAAGCUGCCAAUACAUACUGCCAAUAGCACUGUGUGCUGUCUGAGAAAUGCAUUGUGUAAGUGCUAUUUCCAUCUUAUUAAAUAAACAAUGUUGCUCUGUAUAAACUGGAUUUAAAGUGUUCUUUGAAUGAGGCAUUAUAUUGCUCCAUAAAUAAUGUGAUGUGAAUUCUCAUAUGAUCCCUUUUAACUUAAUUUCUAAAAAAAUAUUAUUUGCUCCUCAGUAAGGAAUAGCUCUAAUUGGACUGGUAACUUUAGUGAUAUGAUUUGUCUGUAACAGGCUGAAUCGCCCCACUCCCAAACUCCUGGUCGUGAUACUGGAUAUUUGUUAUGCCACUUUUAGUUUGCAUGAGGUAUCUUCCAGGAAGUAUUAGUUAUUAACUUGUGUUCUACUAAACUGUAGAUAUUUAUUUCCUGUUCUGGAAGAUUUCUUGGAGUGUCCAUCUGUGCAUUCCUGGUGCCUAGUGUAGUCUUGCUAAUGGAAUAGCACCUUUAUUGGUGCUACUUAGGGGUUGGUAGCUUACAAUCAAUCUACUUGGAACGUAUCCAAAUAAACUGGAUAUUUUUAUACA